rnacentral:rRNA from 1 species
GACGAACGCUGGCGGCGUGCUUAACACAUGCAAGUCGAACGGAAAGGCCCUGCUUUUGUUGGGUGCUCGAGUGGCGAACGGGUGAGUAACACGUGAGUAACCUGCCCUUGACUUUGGGAUAACUUCAGGAAACUGGGGCUAAUACCGGAUAGGAGCUCCUGCUGCAUGGUGGGGGUUGGAAAGUUUCGGCGGUUGGGGAUGGACUCGCGGCUUAUCAGCUUGUUGGUGGGGUAGUGGCUUACCAAGGCUUUGACGGGUAGCCGGCCUGGGAGGUUGGACGGCCCCCAUGGGCCUGCGGUACGGCCCAGACUCCUACGGGGGGCAGUAGGGGGGAAUCUUGCACAAUGGGCGGAAGCCCGAUGCAGCAGCGCCGCGUUCGUGAUGACGGCUUUCGGGUUGUAAACCGCUUUGGCCUGUGACGAAGCGGGAGUGACGGUAAUGGGUAAAGAAGCACCGGCUAACUACGUG